GAUGAACGCUAGCUGGAGGCUUAAUACAUGCAAGUCGAGCGGGAUUGGGUAGCAAUACCCAUGAGAGCGGCGCCCGGGUGCGUAACGCGUACACGACCUACCUCUGACAGGGGGAUAGCCCUGGGAAACUGGGAUUAAUACCGCAUAUUAUUCUGAUUACUAAAGGAUUGGAAUGAAAGUACAGGCGGUCAGAGAUGGGUGUGCGUCUGACUAGCUAGUUGGUAGGGUAACGGCCUACCAAGGCGAUGAUCAGUAGGGGGAGUGAGAGCGUGGUCCCCCACACGGGUACUGAGACACGGACCCGACUCCUACGGGAGGCAGCAGUAAGGAAUAUUGGACAAGGGCCGCAAGGCUGAUCCAGCCAUCCAGCGUGCAGGAAGAAGGCCCUAUGGGUUGUAAACUGCUUUUAUCAGGGAAGAAACCUGUGGAUUUACUCUGCAGCUGACGGUACCUGAAGAAUAAGCACCGGCUAACUCCGUGCCAGCAGCCGCCGUAAUAC
rnacentral:rRNA from 1 species